UCUUCUGUGGGCUAAAGAGAGUAGAUUUCUAGGCAUAUAUACAAUGGUCAUAUCAGUAAUAAGAAGGAAGUGUAGAUAACUGAUAUGGCAAUACCAGGGAAUAGUAGAAUAGAAGACAAAGAAUUGGAGAAGAUCACAAUAUAAUACAUAGGCAACAUUAAUCAGAGUUGAGCCUAAUUCAAAAACGACAAGCCACAGUUUGGUGAAAAUGAAAGCAAAAAUCUUCUGAUUUGCUUCUCACAGCCAUGUACAAAUGAAAAGUUGGGUGUCUACGACUCUAAAUGAUGAUGUACCUUGGCUUCAUAUGAAUACUGGUGACCCUUUAGCUGUCUUGUUCAGCCUCCUGUGAAGUUACAAGCUAAAACUGGGAAAAGCAACUUUCAUAAGCAACUUU